GAGAGUAUAGCUCAAGUGGUAGAGCGCAUGCUUAGCAUGCACAAGGUCCUGGGUUCAAUUCCCAGUACCUCCU
rnacentral:tRNA from 1 species